UACGAAGGGUGCAAGCGUUACUCGGAAUUACUGGGCGUAAAGCGUGCGCAGGCGGUUCGUUAAGUCAGAUGUGAAAGCCCCGGGCUCAACCUGGGAACUGCAUUUGAAACUGGCGGGCUUGAGUAUGGCAGAGGGGGGUGGAAUUCCGCGUGUAGCAGUGAAAUGCGUAGAGAUCGGGAGGAACAUCUGUGGCGAAGGCGGCCAUCUGGACCAGCACUGACACUGAGGCACGAAAGCGUGGGGAGCAAACAGG
rnacentral:rRNA from 1 species